UGGGAUAAUAAAUUUAAAGUAUAUAGUACAGUGACUGAAACAUAAUAUUCAAUGAAUUUUAGCUAUUAUUAUUGUUAUAAUUAACUAGUUGUGGAAGUUGACAUAUAUUGCUGUUUUAAAACUGAGAAGACCUUUUGGCCUUCAAAAGACGGUCUUAUCUUAUGGCCUCCACUAUCUCUCUGUUGAAUGAUUUGCACUUUGAAAGAGAGAAUUUCUUUCCAGAUCUUUUUUUUUUUUUUUGAGACCGAGUCUUGCUCUGUUGCCAGGCUGGAGUACAGUGGCACGAUUUCAGAUCUAAUUUUCAAAGCAGUCUUUCUAUGUUCUAUAGGUCCGUGAGCAAGAUGGGGAAGCAGUACAAGGCAAGCAGGACUGUGGGCUUGGAUCUUGUCUGGUUUUCAGUUGAGAACAGACUUUUAUUUCCACCAAGGAAGCAGUACCAUAAGAUGGACCCAGCAUUGUGCCUUUUAUCUUUCGAAAGAAGCUUAAUACAUACUUCUUGA
rnacentral:lncRNA from 1 species